rnacentral:lncRNA from 10 species
GAAGAGGAAAUUUAGACACAGACCUGAACAAAGGGAAGAUGAUGUGAAGACAGAGGGAGAAGAUAGCCAUCUAGAAGCCAAGGAGAGAGACCUGGAAAAACAGAUCCACCCCCCAUGGCCCUUAGAAGGAACCAAUCCAACUGAUGCCUUGAUUUUGGUCUUUUAGCCUCCAGAACUACUUAUGCAAAAUAAACAUCCGUCAAGGUCAUGAAAGACAAGGCAAGACUGAGAAAAUUUGAAAGGACUGGAGGCAACUGAAGAGAAAUCACUCCUGAAUGCAAUAUGGACCCUGGAGCAGAUAAAGGACAUUAGUGAAAAACAG